rnacentral:rRNA from 1 species
UACGUAGGGUGCAAGCGUUGUCCGGAAUUAUUGGGCGUAAAGAGCUCGUAGGCGGUUUGUCGCGUCUGCUGUGAAAACCCGAGGCUCAACCUCGGGCCUGCAGUGGGUACGGGCAGACUAGAGUGCGGUAGGGGAGAUUGGAAUUCCUGGUGUAGCGGUGGAAUGCGCAGGAUAUCAGGAGGAACACCAAUGGCGAAGGGCAGGAUCUCUGGGCCGUAACUGACGCUGAGGAGCGAAAGCAUGGGGAGCGAACAGGA